UUAUAGCGCCCUCUGCAGGAGAUUUGCAGAUGUGCCACAGGCUGCACAGUGUACAGCUAGGGCAGUGAAAAUAGGGUAUGAUAGAGAAUUAUGGUUUAACAAAAGGCACGUAUAGUUCUUGAUGUCUAAGACAUUCGACUGGGUUGGGCUUCGAGAUGCCAUUAUAAAAGCCUACACUGAGCGGAUAAGGGACUCUCAGCAGACGGAGGGAGCCUCGACGAAGGACCCAUCCCUGAGACCAUGGCAGCAGAGGCAGUUGGUCCUGUUGUGACGACAGGAGCUCCCGAAAGCACCCCGAUGGAAGAUCUGGUGAACCAGGGUAAUAAGACGAUGGACGCCGAGGCCUCUGCAGAGCCUGAGCUACAGAUGGCCAUCAAGUGUCGUGACGUCUGCCGGUCCUACGGCAAACUGAAGGUCAUCAGCAACAUGGACCUGACUGUUCCACAGGGACAAAUUUAUGGCCUGUUGGGGCCCAGUGGAUGUGGGAAGACCACGCUGUUAAAAUGUAUCGUAGGAACUCUGAAGAUCUCCCGGGGCCACAUCAGUGUUCUGGGAAAACCUCCUUCCUUUCCUGGUCAUGAAGUUCCUGGCAGGAUGGUUGGAUACAUGCCACAGGAUUUGGCGCUGUAUAACGAGUUCACAAUCAGUGACACACUCACAUUCUUUGGACGCAUUCACGGACUGACCUCCAAGGAGACCCAGGCCCGCAUGGACUUCCUGGUGGACUUCCUGGACCUACCUCAGAAGUGCAGGCUGGUCCGAAAUCUCAGUGGAGGCCAGAGGAGGAGGGUGUCCCUCGGAGCUGCUCUGCUACAGAACCCACAGCUUCUAAUUCUGGAUGAGCCCACAGUGGGAGUGGACCCUGUGUUAAGAGCCAGGAUCUGGCAGCAUCUGGUGGAGAUAGUAAAGACGGGAAAGGUGUCGGUCAUCAUCACAACACACUACAUAGAGGAGGCCCGUCAAGCUAAUGUGGUUGGUCUUAUGAGGAACGGCCGUUUGCUGGCAGAAGGAAAUCCACAGGAAGUGAUGCAUCAGCUCAAUGCAUCCACGUUGGAGCACGCCUUCCUCCAGCUCUGUGAGACGUCAGACCUGAUGGACUCAAAGCAGGGCAGCAGGCAGCAGGGGGAAAGCAAACAUUCACUUGAGAGCGGACAGGACGAGAGCCGACCCAUUCUUAGCAUAGGACCAGGAGGAACACCAGAGGACAUACCUAAACAUGCUGUGGAUUGGAAGGUACGAGCCAGGCAUGUGCUUCCCAAGUGGAGGAACAUCUCAGCGCUGAUGAUAAAGACCCUGAUACGGAUGAAGAGGAUGCCUGGGUCGUUGUGCUUCCAGUUCUUACUGCCGGUCAUCCAGAUCUCCCUUAUGUGUGUGUGCAUUGGAGGAGACCCCAAGGGCGUCCGGGUGGCUGUGGUGAACAACGAGACAUCCUCCACUGGCUACAGCCAGCUGCUGCUGGGCUUCCUAGACAACUCCAGUAUAGAGCAGGUACCGCUGAGCCACGCAGACGCCUUCACUGGGAUCUACAACGGAGAGUACUGGGGGGUCCUCGGCUUCGGACAGAACUUCUCCAGCUACAUGACCAGGAGGGCUCUCAAACCGCAAACCGUUUCUAAAGAUGUGGUCGAUGGAGGCUCAGUACACGUCUGGCUGGACCUGACAAAUCGACAAAUUGCUCUGAUGCUCCAGAAGAAAGUCUUCCAGGCCUUUCAGGAAUUUGUAGAUUAUAAACUGGACAGCAAGGCCUACAUGGUGGCUCUGCCUAUUAAGAUAGAAGAGCCGAUCUAUGGAAGCCUCAACACUGACUUCACCACCUUCAUCACUCCGGGAGCCGUGCUCAGUAUCACCUUCUACCUGGCGGUGGGGCUCACGGCGCUCUCCUUUGUCCUGGAGAGGAAGGAGGGUCUGCUGGACAGGUGCUGGGUGGCAGGUGUGAGCUCUUUAGAGACGAUGUUGGCCCAUCUUCUGUCGCAGCUGUUUGUGAUCAGUGUCCAGAUCCUUCUCAUGCUGCUAUUCGUCCUCUUGGUUUUCAAGAUCCCUAACGAGGGCUCUCUGAUACUGGUGGUGGCCCUCAUCGUGCUGCAGGGCGUUACUGGCAUCGCCUUCGGCCUGGUCAUCUCCGCCGCCAUCGACGACGAGCAGAGUGCCAACCAGGCGGCCUUAGGCGUCUUCUACCCCAACCUGGUGAUCAGCGGGGUGAUCUGGCCUGUGGAGUGUAUCCCCUACCCUCUGCGCUACCUCAGCCUGGCGCUGCCUCAGACCUACGCCUCAGAAGCACUGCGCUGCAUCAUGUAUAGAGGCUGGGGCCUCGGUCACAUGAUGGUGUGGCGCGGUUUUGCGGUCACGCUGGGAUGGAACACCUUUUUCCUCCUUCUGGCCACAAUCAUCCUCAAGCUCAGGACGUGACAUCCCAGCCUUAAGGGCAGCCUGGACGGAGGGCCUCGGUGUUAGCCUGUCUGGUUGACCAUUACCUUGUCGCUGCUCCAAUCAGAGAGCUGCAUACCCUUCAGCCAAUGGCAGUGGGUGCUGAUUCUCCAUGGGGCGGUCAUGGACCACAGUCUACGGCAGGGUGGAUUGCUGUCAGGCCCUGUCCACGUUCACGCUUUCCAGAUCAGCCAAUGGUCAGCUCACAGCCCAUGGUCCAGCUGACAUGGAACAUAUUUAGUCACAACCAAGAAAUGUUUGCGGUCCAAAAUAGCAGUUGGUUGGUGCCUGAUGGUUUGUCGUCUUGUUCUUUAUGUACAUUUAUGUUCAUACUUAAAUUAAAUCAAGUAAAUGCCUUUUUGUUGGAAGUCUGUUUCUGCAUUUCAGGUUCAGGAUAACUAAUCAAAAUCAUUAAACUCACUGGUCAACAGAGAUCUUUUUUAUUUAAAAGAUGUGACAAACAAAAAAUAAAUAUUGAUGGCAAUAUAUAAAUUAUAUGAAAUAUAUGGAAAAAUCUAAGUCAAUUCAGAUGUUUUUUUCUUUUACAAUUAUUCAAAAUUAUAAUUUGUGAGAGUAUAAUCAAGGUGGAAACAAUAAUGGUUCUUUGUAAGUUUACAGACCGUGUAAUGUUGGCCUGUUGCGUCCUGUUACUUUAGAAGCUAUUAUCUAUAGCAGUAUUCUGGCUCUGUAGCCAGAAUACCGAGCCAGAAUCUGUAGAGUCUGUAGUAUCGCCAGAGUGGAGGAGGGACAAAUGUGUCAAAAGACUGUUGUCAACACAGACUUAAGUUGAUGGCUUAAGGAAUGUUCACUGUAGAUAAACAUACUGUACCACGGUGCAGAAGGACUACUCGUACUUCUGCAACAGCGACAAACUAAAUCAACACAAGAACACAUGCUCAUUCAUCUGCGGUAGCCAGUGUGUGCCUGGCCUGUGAUCCACUAAACAUUAUGUCAACACACAGCUGCACAUGGUUACUGUCGCUAUGACAGCAUGACAACACAUCCCUGCACAGUUCCUCAGACCGGGAACAGCACAGUGUUAUUUAAUAUUUGCAGAGUUUGAGCACAGCGUGUGUCUAUGACAUAACCCUGUCACACGGAGGACUCUCUGGUACCAGCUGACCUCCCGGCUCCUGCAGAACACAACCCUGCUGUUGCUAUGUUUGGGUCCUUGCGCCUAGUAACCACCACACUCCUCUUUAGAGGGCAUGGCCUGUGUGUCACACACAACAUCUUUAUUCACAUUAUGUUAUUUUUUUAUUAAAUAAAAAAAAUUAACUGCAAUACUGCAUUAUUCUUUCAUUGUAGGGAGUCGGCAAAUGGCGGCCCGUGGGCCAUAAAUGGCCCGCCAGACAUAAUAUCUGGCCCGCCAGAUUAUUCUGAAGUUAUAUGAUUUUUUUUAUUUUUUUUUAUCGAAUAUCUAUAUCUGUUAGCUUAAAUGUAAAGGGCCGGAUACAGUGAACUUUUUUUUCUUUCACAACCGUUUUUGAAUCUAAUUGUAUCAAAUACUGCUACUAC